rnacentral:lncRNA from 1 species
CGACGAGGCAAAGCAGGGUUAUAGUUGAUUCCUCCUUGUGUACCAAUGAGAGGCACAUUAGAAAAAUCUCCACAACUAUCAAUAAUAUCCACACUACUCAAUGCAGAAUCAUAACAAACAAUAUCAUCAUUAGUGAGAGACAUAAGUCUCUGAGACCACCAUAGACAUUGCUUGUUCUCCAAAAAAACAGGCGUCUGAGACAAGUGCAAAAUAAACCACUUGUACAGGAGAGGAACACAGGACACAAUAGUCCCACCACCUUUAGAAUUCCUCAAAUGCAAAGAGAAAU